rnacentral:rRNA from 1 species
GUGACCUCAAAUCAGGUAGGACUACCCGCUGAACUUAAGCAUAUCAAUAAGCGGAGGAAAAGAAACUAACAAGGAUUCCCCUAGUAACUGCGAGUGAAGCGGGAAAAGCUCAAAUUUAAAAUCUGGCAGUCUUUGGCUGUCCGAGUUGUAAUCUAGAGAAGUGUUAUCCGCGCUGGACCGUGUACAAGUCUCCUGGAAUGGAGCGUCAUAGAGGGUGAGAAUCCCGUCUUUGACACGGACUACCAGGGCUUUGUGAUGCGCUCUCAAAGAGUCGAGUUGUUUGGGAAUGCAGCUCAAAAUGGGUGGUAAAUUCCAUCUAAAGCUAAAUAUUGGCGAGAGACCGAUAGCGAACAAGUACCGUGAGGGAAAGAUGAAAAGAACUUUGGAAAGAGAGUUAAACAGUACGUGAAAUUGCUGAAAGGGAAACGCUUGAAGUCAGUCGCGUUGUCCAGGGAUCAACCUUGCUUUUGCUUGGUGCACUUUCUGGUUGACGGGUCAGCAUCAAUUUUGACCAUUGGAAAAAGAUUGAGGGAAUGUGACAUCUUCGGAUGUGUUAUAGCCCUUGGUUGCAUACGAUGGUUGGGAUUGAGGAACUCAGCACGCCGCAAGGCCGGGUUU